rnacentral:rRNA from 1 species
GACGAAGGAUGCAAGCGUUAUCCGGAUUCAUUGGGUUUAAAGGGAGCGUAGGUGGCCUUAUAAGUCAGUGGUGAAAUCUCUGGGCUUAACCCAGAAAUUGCCAUUGAUACUGUAGGGCUUGAGUAUAGUUGCCGUUGGCGGAAUAUGACAUGUAGUGGUGAAAUACAUAGAGAUGUCAUAGAACACCGAUUGCGAAGGCAGCUAACGAAACUAUAACUGACACUGAGGCUCGAAAGUGCGGGGGAUCAAACAGG